rfam:Schistosoma margrebowiei strain Zambia genome assembly, scaffold: SMRZ_contig0002387
AUCCAGCUAACGAGUCCCAAAUAGGACGAAAAGCGUGUUCUGGAU